rnacentral:sRNA from 2 species
GCUUGCAUGGAUUCUUACUCAAGCAUGUUCUGACGUUACUGUCUAGAUAUAGAUUCAACUACGAAGUCUAGUAGAGGUAGACGGUGAAGUCAAACACGGUGAAUAAAACUCAGAACGUUAACCGUCGAAAUCCGUUACUGCUAUGUCGACCCAGGGUUCAGGCUGGCGUAUCACGCAGAGCUCACACCGCUACCCGGAUUGUGGAUUGGGUGACGGUUUGAUUAUCGUGGUUCGAAGAAUCUCGCUGUGUGAACCUCAUGUCACCCCCAACGGAUAUCGCGGCUGGUGGAGCAUGUGGGGUUUCCAACCGAAAGUCCAACAACGCACUGUACGACCGGACUUAGGAACCACUCAAAGGUUGUAUCCAGGCCAAAAUGGGAUUGCGAAUAGUACCCAAGCCGGACGGAGUUUUGUGAG